rnacentral:rRNA from 1 species
CGGGGUGAGUAACGCGUGGGUAACCUGCCUCAUACAGGGGGAUAACAGUUAGAAAUGACUGCUAAAACCGCAUAAGCGCACAUUGUCGAGUGGCAGAGUGUGAAAAACUCCGGUGGUAUGAGAUGGACCCGCGUCUGAUUAGCUAGUUGGUGAGGUAACGGCCCGCCAAGGCGACGAUCAGUAGCCGGCCUGAGAGGGCGACCGGCCACAUUGGGACUGAGACACGGCCCAAACUCCUACGGAAGGCAGCAG